rnacentral:rRNA from 1 species
UACGUAGGGUGCAAGCGUUGUCCGGAAUCAUUGGGCGUAAAGAGCGUGUAGGCGGCUCGAUUAGUCCGCUGUAAAAGUCCAGGGCUCAACCCUGGGAUGCCGGUGGAAACUGUCGGGCUAGAGUCCGGGAGAGGCGAGUGGAAUUCCCAGUGUAGCGGUGAAAUGCGUAGAUAUUGGGAGGAACACCAGUGGCGAAGGCGGCUCACUGGACCGGAACUGACGCUGAGGCGCGAAAGCGUGGGGAGCAAACGGG